GUCGCUACAAUGUCACAGUGCCUGUGCUGACCUGCACAACCUGUCUCAGCACCUGGACAGCAAACUUGGCAGAUCUGAUAAAGAAUAGGUACUGGCCUGCCACUGUCAACUGUGACACCAUUUACCAGAGAUCUGAGAAGCUCUUUUGAGGAGCUGAAAGUGUCAGCCCCAGGAAUGUCCCGGCUGGUGUUUAUGCGGAUUUUGGAGCAGCGAACUGAUUUCUUUGGCAGGAACAGAAUGAUCUGUGGGGACACUUUUCAAAAAAGCUUCUUUGAGUGGAUGUACUGCCGCUCUGUAAUUGAUCAAGUCUGCGAUCUGUUCCCCCGGAAUGCUUGCAGUGUUUGUAGAUGGGAACAAGAAGCUGUAUCGAUUCAAAAAAGGGGUUAUGGAAAAGGGGUAUGUGGAGCAUCCCAGUGGACAGCAGCUAAAGAGUCGUCAAGGAAAACAAAAGACAAACCUGAUGAAGAGGGACUCACAGUUGCUGUUUGCCGCCACGAAUACUUCUGAGGAGCCUCAACAUGAUGCGUAGAGAGAUCUUUGCGUACCCACUGUUCUUGCAGAAGGAAUUGUCUGGCAGCAGGAACAUACAAUUCAUGUGUACGGAUGUGAUCUGCAACUUUUGGCCAUACUUAACCAAACAGAACCUCUACCGUCAGACAGGUUUGUUAAACUUCAUGAAUAUUGAAUUGCACACACUUCAUUUCUCUUUCAUUUCAAAGUCAUGAAAUGUAACAAAUAAUUCCAUUCUCCUUGUAUUGAUGGCAGAUGGAUGCAAGAAAAGAUACCAUCUGCACAGAAAGAUAUUUGAAGAAAAGGCCAAAUUGACAGCUGCCAUGGAGUACAACACCCUUGUACCAGAUUCAGCAAUACCAUCUGCAGAUGAGAUCCUUUCCCCAGACCUUCAUGCAUGACCUUGGGAGCUGCAUGGACAAAGUAAGUAGUAUGUUUGUGUGUCACAAUAACUAUGUUUCUGUUUUGCUAUCUGUGUUUGUUCAGUUGCGCAAAUACAGACAGCACUGCCAUUAAAGUUACAAAUCCACAUUGCAUUCUUAUGAAUUUACAGCUGACCUACUCACAAAGAAAAUAGCCUUUGACCGGGUGAUGCUCCUGAGACAGCUGAAGGAGGAGGAGUUAAUUGUCCUAAAGGAAGUCAAGCAGCACUGGGAAAGCCUAAAGAGGGAAUCGGAGAAUGUGCAAGACCUUGCUUCACAUGUGGCACCUGACCUAAGCAGGCAAAGUAGGGGAACUUUCAUUAAUAUGUACAAUUGAUGUUGGCAACCUGUAACUGCUAUUGUAUUUAAGGAAUACUUCAUUGUAUUUACCCUACACAUUACGAUUGUUGGUGUUAGGCUGGCAAUUGAAUCAGUCGGAAGCUGGGAGCAGAGGUCUCUUCUCCAUGCUUCAGAGGAGAGUCAGCAGCCUCAGAAGACACCAGGACUCUGUCAAACUGAUAUACAGCAAAGCUAUGGGCCAAGACACCUCCCUCCUAGAAAAUAACUUCAUAGAUGACCUCCUGGAAGAGGACCUAGAUGACAUCUAUGACAGCAUCCACUACAGCUCUGAUGACGAGGAAUCUAUCACAGACUGAAGGUGUUCGUUUGGGUGGGUGCAGUUUGCACUGGGUGAAAAGUGAUUCCAUUUGUUUUGCAUAUGUGCUUUAUCUGCCUUCCAAAGGAAAAAUAGUUUGAACAUUUUAUGGAAAAUAAACUUAUGUUUCUUCCUUGUUGACAAUGUGAUCAUGUGACACAGAUUUGAGAAGGGCGCUCGUCUGUUACUGCUUUUGCCCGGUUACAUGACCAGGUCCGAUGCACCCCUUUAAAUGGCCAGUCUGCAGUUGCUACAUCCACUUUUGGAUUCUUGAAGAAUAUAAUUUAUAAAUGCCUCAUGAACAUAGUUCAACUGCCGUACCCCAUCAGAUCUCAAUAUAUAUAUAUAUAUAUAUAUAUAUUUACUCCAAUGUGUGUAAACAAAGUAAAUGUAAACAUACACUAGCAUGUGUGAAACUCAUUCCACGGGUGAGCCGAGUGUCUGCAGGUUUUCGCUCCUCCCUUGAUUGAUGAAUUAAGGUCACUAAUUAGUAAGGAACUCCCCUCACCUGGUUGUCUAGGUCUUAAUUGAAAGGAAAAAACUAAAACCAGCAGACACUAGGCUCUCAUUGGAAUGAGAUUGACAUCAAUGGACUAUAGCCUGGAAACAUGGUUUAAACUAUGGUUACAUUUCUCCAGCCCCAUCCCUCUGCUUUUUACAGAACCAUUGGCGGGGAGAACGAUUUAUUGUUUCACCUGCUGAUUUCAGAUUUAAACAUUGUUAAACUGUAAUGUACUGUGCUCGUGUGCUUAUUAGUUUAGUUAAUAAAAAACUAAAACAGGUUAUCCUUGUCUUCAAGUAAUCAUUUGCAUCCUGAUGGAGCUACAUCAGUACAUUAGUCAUGGGCUUUUAAGUCAACAAUUACUUAUGUAUGUAUGAGAUGUACAAAUGCUUACCUAGUACUGAGUACUUUGACCAGUUACUACUUUACUCUCGUAGUUUUCGAGAGGGCUACUUUACUUGUACUUGAGUACAAG
rnacentral:lncRNA from 8 species